rnacentral:misc_RNA from 1 species
UUUCUCUCGUAGCUGACUGAGCCGCGUCCCUCCGCGUCUUCUAUCACACACACCUGACUCGCGCACACACACGCGCGCAUAGAAACCGUGAAGCCACGACAAGGAUGGACUCGGAGCAGCCCAAGAAGGUCCCAAGGACGGAGACCAAGACGAAGGAGCUGCUGCGUACCACCGUCGCCGACGGCCCCUUCAGCCUCCUAGACACUGCCAUGAAGGAGAAAAAGCGGGUCUUCAUCCAGUGUCGCAACAGCAAGGCGCUUCUGGCACACGUGAUCGCCUUUGACAAGCACUUCAAUCUCGUGCUGAAGGGCGUCCAGGAGAUCACUGAAAGCCACGGCUCCGAGCAGAAGCAGCGCACCAUCGAAAACCUCUUUUUGCGCGGCGAGUCGGUAAUUUUUAUCGUGAAACUGCCCUAGGUCAGCUCCACUGCACCGAGGAGGCGUACAAGACCGCAUCGGUAGGAGCAAGGCAAGUACUCGCCUUCGUCGCACUGCCUUCGUUCUCCCAGCCGUGUAUCGGUCGUAACCUUUUGUUUCCCUCUUUCAGCAUUUUCUACUGGCGCUCUGGACUGUGCGCUUCAGCACGGUAUCCGCCAACGAAGGGGUUUGCAUCGACUUUGGUGGAGGACGUGGCAUGGACGCCCGGCGCCGUGAUGUGUUUGGUUGAUGUGACGAAAUGCGUUUGCUUGUUGGCGUGUGCUACCUGCCAAGCAUUUGGAGGGCGCCGGCGAGAGCUUUUUGUGUGGCGGUCGCUGAUGUGCUUGCAUGUACAUAGAUGUGCAUGUGCACUUGUGUUCAUGUGUGUAGGUAUGCGUUUGUGUGUGUGUGUGUGGAUGAGAACCGUGCUAGCCGCACCUUAAAC